CCUACGGGUGGCAGCAGUGAGGAAUAUUGGUCAAUGGGCGCGAGCCUGAACCAGCCAAGUAGCGUGAAGGAUGACUGCCCUACGGGUUGUAAACUUCUUUUGCCGGGGAGCAACGGGCGUCACGUGUGGCGCCCCUGAGAGUACCCGGAGAAAAAGCAUCGGCUAACUCCGUGCCAGCCGCCGCGGUAAUACGGAGGAUGCGAGCGUUAUCCGGAUUUAUUGGGUUUAAAGGGUGCGUCGGCGGAUCGUUAAGUCAGUGGUCAAAUUGAGGGGCUCAACCCCUUCCCGCCAUUGAAACUGGCGCUCUUGAGUGGAAGAGAAGUAUGCGGAAUGCGUGGUGUAGCGGUGAAAUGCAUAGAUAGCACGCAGAACCCCGAUUGCGAAGGCAGCAUGCCGGCUUCCGACUGACGCUGAAGCACGAAAGCGUGGGGAUCGAACAGGAUUAGAUACCCGUGUAGUC
rnacentral:rRNA from 1 species